rnacentral:rRNA from 1 species
UACGGAGGGUGCGAGCGUUGUCCGGAAUCAUUGGGCGUAAAGGGCGCGUAGGUGGCCCGGUCAGUUCGUGGUGAAAGCGCGGGGCUCAACCCUGCGUCGGCCAUGAAUACUGCCGCGGCUGGAGCACUGUAGAGGCAGGCGGAAUUCCGGGUGUAGCGGUGGAAUGCGUAGAGAUCCGGAGGAAGACCGGUGGCGAAGGCGGCCUGCUGGGCGAGAUACUGACACUGAGGCGCGGACAGCGUGGGGAGCAACAGG